rnacentral:tRNA from 1 species
AGAAAGAUAAGCUAAAUUUAAAGCUAAUGGGUUCAUAUCCCAUUAAUAGAGGUCAUAAUCCUCUUCUCUCUA